UGGUGGAGUGAUUUGUCUGCUUAAUUGCGAUAACGAACGAGACCUUAACCUGCUAAAUAGCCCGGCCCGCCUAGGCGGGCCGCCGGCUUCUUAGAGGGACUAUCGGCUCAAGCCGAUGGAAGUUUGAGGCAAUAACA
rnacentral:rRNA from 1 species